AACGAACGCUGGCGGCAGGCCUAACACAUGCAAGUCGAGCGCCCCGCAAGGGGAGCGGCGGACGGGUGAGUAACGCGUGGGAACGUACCCUUUGCUACGGAAUAGCCUCGGGAAACUGGGAGUAAUACCGUAUGUGUCCUUCGGGAGAAAGAUUUAUCGGCAAGGGAUCGGCCCGCGUUGGAUUAGGUAGUUGGUGGGGUAAUGGCCUACCAAGCCGACGAUCCAUAGCUGGUUUGAGAGGAUGAUCAGCCACACUGGGACCGAGACACGGCCCAGACUCCUACGGGAGGCAGCAGUGGGGAAUCUUAGACAAUGGGCGCAAGCCUGAUCUAGCCAUGCCGCGUGAGCGAUGAAGGCCUUAGGGUUGUAAAGCUCUUUCAGGGGGGAAGAUAAUGACUGUACCCCCAGAAGAAGCCCCGGCUAACUCCGUG
rnacentral:rRNA from 1 species